rnacentral:rRNA from 1 species
UGGGGAAUUUUGGACAAUGGGCGCAAGCCUGAUCCAGCAAUGCCGCGUGCAGGAUGAAGGCCUUCGGGUUGUAAACUGCUUUUGUACGGAGCGAAAAGGUCUGCCCUAAUACGGUGGGCUCAUGACGGUACCGUAAGAAUAAGCACCGGCUAACUACGUGCCAGCAGCCGCGGUAAUACGUAGGGUGCAAGCGUUAAUCGGAAUUACUGGGCGUAAAGCGUGCGCAGGCGGUUAUGCAAGACAGAGGUGAAAUCCCCGGGCUCAACCUGGGAACUGCAUUUGUGACUGCAUAGCUGGAGUGCGGCAGAGGGGGAUGGAAUUCCGCGUGUAGCAGUGAAAUGCGUAGAUAUGCGGAGGAACACCGAUGGCGAAGGCAAUCCCCUGGGCCUGCACUGACGCUCAUGCACGAAAGCGGGGGGAGCAAACA